AACGAACGCUGGCGGCAUGCCUAACACAUGCAAGUCGAACGAAGGCUUCGGCCUUAGUGGCGCACGGGUGCGUAACGCGUGGGAAUCUGCCCUUUGGUUCGGAAUAACAGCUGGAAACGGCUGCUAAUACCGGAUGAUGACGAAAGUCCAAAGAUUUAUCGCCAGAGGAUGAGCCCGCGUUGGAUUAGGUAGUUGGUGGGGUAAAGGCCUACCAAGCCGACGAUCCAUAGCUGGUCUGAGAGGAUGAUCAGCCACACUGGGACUGAGACACGGCCCAGACUCCUACGGGAGGCAGCAGUGGGGAAUAUUGGACAAUGGGAGCAAGCCUGAUCCAGCAAUGCCGCGUGAGUGAUGAAGGCCCUAGGGUUGUAAAGCUAUUUUACCCGGGAAGAUAAUGACUGUACCGGGAGAAUAAGCCCCGGCUAACUCCGUG
rnacentral:rRNA from 1 species